rnacentral:rRNA from 1 species
AUUGAACGCUGGCGGCAUGCUUUACACAUGCAAGUCGAACGGUAACAGGCCGCAAGGUGCUGACGAGUGGCGAACGGGUGAGUAAUGCAUCGGAACGUGCCCAGUCGUGGGGGAUAACGCAGCGAAAGCUGCGCUAAUACCGCAUACGAUCUAUGGAUGAAAGCGGGGGACCGUAAGGCCUCGCGCGAUUGGAGCGGCCGAUGUCAGAUUAGGUAGUUGGUGGGGUAAAGGCCCACCAAGCCAACGAUCUGUAGCUGGUCUGAGAGGACGACCGGGCACACUGGGAAUGAGACGCGGCCCAAACUCCUACGGGAGGCAGCAGUGGGGAAUUUUGGACAAUGGGCGCAAGCAUGAUCCAGCAAUGCCGCGUGCAGGAAGAAGGCCUUCGGGUUGUAAACUGCUUUUGUACGGAACGAAACGGUCCUGGUUAAUACCCUGGGGUCAUGACGGUACCGUAAGAAUAAGCACCGGCUAACUACGUGCCAGCAGCCGCAGUAAGAC